rnacentral:sRNA from 1 species
CUUCAUCAAUUUGUCCAGGAGAAAUAAAGUGGAUAUGAGAAUCGAUUCCUCCAGCUAUUAUUAUCUUGCCUUCUGCUGAGAGAAUCUCCGUAUUAGCGCCUAUCUCUAGUCCAUUUGUGAUACCAUCACAAUUAUUUGGAUUACCACUUUUGCCAAUAGCCGAUAUUUUUCCAUUUUUGACUCCAAUAUUGGCCUUGUAAAUACCUGUAUAAUCUAUGACUAUAGCAUUUGUAAUAAUUAAAUCAGCUACUUCAUUUCCAGCUGUUGGGCUUUGACUCAUCCCAUCUCGAAUAG